rnacentral:rRNA from 1 species
GAUGAACGCUGGCGGCGCGCCUAACACAUGCAAGUCGAACGAUUAAAGCACCUUCGGGUGUGUAUAGAGUGGCGAACGGCUGAGUAACACGUGGGCAACCUGCCCCUUUCAUUGGGAUAGCCACGGGAAACCGUGGAUAAUACCGAAUACUUCGAGACUUCCGCAUGGAAGACUCGAGAAAGCUCCGGCGGAGAGGGAUGGGCCCGCGGCCUGUUAGCUUGUUGGUGGGGUAACGGCCUACCAAGGCAAUGAUGGGUAGCUGGGUUGAGAGACCGACCAGCCAGAUUGGGACUGAGACACGGCCCAGACUCCUACGGGAGGCAGCAGUGGGGAAUCUUGCACAAUGGGCGAAAGCCUGAUGCAGCGACGCCGCGUGCGGGAUGAAGGCCUUCGGGUUGUAAACCGCUUUCAGCAGGGACGAGGCGAAAGUGACGGUACCUGCAGAAGAAGCCCCGGCUAACUACGUG